UUAGUGCUGCAGCUAACGCAUUAAGCACUCCGCCUGGGGAGUACGGCCGCAAGACUGAAACUCAAAGGAAUUGACGGGGGCCCGCACAAGCGGGGGAGCAUGGGGUUUAAUUCAAAGCAACGCGAAAAACCUUACCAGGUCUUGACAUCCUCUGACAAUCCUAAAAAUAGGACGUCCCCUUCGGGGGCAGAGUGACAGGUGGUGCAUGGUUGUCGUCAGCUCGUGUCGUGAGAUGUUGGGUUAAGUCCCGCAACGAGCGCAACCCUUGAUCUUAGUUGCCAGCAUUCAGUUGGGCACUCUAAGGUGACUGCCGGUGACAAACCGGAGGAAGGUGGGGAUGACGUCAAAUCAUCAUGCCCCUUAUGACCUGGGCUACACACGUGCUACAAUGGACAGAACAAAGGGCAGCGAAACCGCGAGGUUAAGCCAAUCCCACAAAUCUGUUCUCAGUUCGGAUCGCAGUCUGCAACUCGACUGCGUGAAGCUGGAAUUCCUAGUAAUCGCGGAUCAGCAU
rnacentral:rRNA from 1 species